rnacentral:rRNA from 1 species
GACGAACCGUGCGAACGUUAUUCGGAAUCACUGGGCUUAAAGCGCGUGUAGGCGGGAGGGCACGUCCGUCGCUGAAAUCCACCGGCUCAACCGGGGAACGGGCGCGGAUACGACCUUCCUUGAGGGGCGUAGGGGGACCUGGAACUUCCGGUGGAGCGGUGAAAUGCAUUGAGAUCGGAAAGAACACCAACGGCGAAAGCACUCUGCUGGGCCGACACUGACACUGAGAGACGAAAGCUAGGGGAGCAAAUGGG